rnacentral:snRNA from 1 species
AAUACCGGUUUAAACCGAGGGAAA